UACGGGGGGUGCGAGCGUUGUCCGGAAUCACUGGGCGUAAAGGGCGCGUAGGUGGUUUGAUAAGGGUGUGGUGAAAGUCCGGGGCUCAACCCCGGAUCCUGCCGUGCCGACUGUCAAACUCGAGGACUGUAGAGGCAGACGGAAUUCCGGGGUGUAGCGGUGGAAUGCGUAGAGAUCCGGAGGAAGACCGGUGGCGAAGGCGGGUUACUGGGCUGAUACUGACGCUGAUGCGCGAAAGCCAGGGGAGCAAACGGG
rnacentral:rRNA from 1 species